rnacentral:rRNA from 1 species
AACGAACGCUGGCGGCAUGCCUAACACAUGCCAGUCGAACGAGACCUUCGGGUCUAGUGGCGCACGGGUGCGUAACGCGUGGGAACCUGCCCUUAGGUUCGGAAUAACUCCCCGAAAGGGGUGCUAAUACCGGAUAAUGUCUUCGGACCAAAGAUUUAUCGCCUUUGGAUGGGCCCGCGUUGGAUUAGCUAGUUGGUAGGGUAAAAGCCUACCAAGGCGACGAUCCAUAGCUGGUCUGAGAGGAUGAUCAGCCACACUGGGACUGAGACACGGCCCAGACUCCUACGGGAGGCAGCAGUGGGGAAUAUUGGACAAUGGGCGAAAGCCUGAUCCAGCAAUGCCGCGUGAGUGAUGAAGGCCUUAGGGUUGUAAAGCUCUUUUACCCGGGAUGAUAACGACAGUACCGGGAGAAUAAGCUCCGGCUAACUCCGU